rnacentral:rRNA from 1 species
UACGUAGGGUGCAGGCGUUGAUCGGAAUUACUGGGCGUAAAGCGUGCGCAGGCGGUUUGCUAAGUCAGGUGUGAAAUCCCCCGGCUUAACCUGGGAACUGCGUCUGAUACUGGAAGGCUUGAGUGCGGGAGAGGGAUGUGGAAUUCCAGGUGUAGCGGUGAAAUGCGUAGAUAUCAGGAAGAACACCCGUGGCGAAGGCGGCUCUCUGGGACGGUACUGACGCUGAGACGCGAAAGCGUGGGGAGCGAACAGG